UACGUAGGUGGCAAGCGUUGUCCGGAAUUAUUGGGCGUAAAGUGCGCGCAGGCGGUCCUUUAAGUCUGAUGUGAAAGCCCACGGCUCAACCGUGGAGGGUCAUUGGAAACUGGGGGACUUGAGUACAGAAGAGAAGAGUGGAAUUCCACGUGUAGCGGUGAAAUGCGUAGAGAUGUGGAGGAACACCAGUGGCGAAGGCGACUCUUUGGUCUGUAACUGACGCUGAGGCGCGAAAGCGUGGGGAGCAAACAGG
rnacentral:rRNA from 1 species